UACGGAGGAUGCGAGCGUUAUCCGGAUUUAUUGGGUUUAAAGGGUGCGUAGGCGGUCGGAUAAGUUAGAGGUGAAAUCCCGAGGCUCAACUUCGGAAUUGCCUCUGAUACUGUUCGGCUAGAGAGUAGUUGCGGUAGGCGGAAUGUAUGGUGUAGCGGUGAAAUGCAUAGAUAUCACGCAGAACGCCGAUUGCGAAGGCAGCUUACCGGCGCUCAACUGACGCUGAGGCACGAAAGUGCGGGUAUCGAACAGG
rnacentral:rRNA from 1 species